GCCUCACUCACUUUCGUGCUUUGAAGUUCCCCAUGCGUGCCGCGGAACUCCGGGGCUCUUGAUAAUCGCUCUGCCGGCGGAUUUGAAGGCGUCCAUCCCGAGGUGGUGUCCGCUCUCCGGCAGAGAGGAUGUGAGCAGCUGAGGGAAACGCACGCACCUACUGCACCAUUUUUAAAGUUCAGGGCGUGUCCUUCUGUGAAGCUUCCUCUGAGUGCUCCGGUUUGAAGAAACCACCGCAAGGACAGGUCUUUCCAAUGGUAUUCCUGGUAAAGGAAUUAAAGUGCCCAAUGGAUCUGUGCCCAGUAAACGUACAAUUGCA